AGGACAUCAGUCUUAGCAGCUUGUGAUUACACACCAGCCUUUUGUUUCCCUGGCUUUCAUGGCAAUGUCUGGGAUAUACCAUAGCUUCUGAUCUUGCUGAAACUCCAUAAUGACCUGGAAAUAUUUCAUAGCCAGAGUGGAAAAUGUAAUUUGCCUGAGGAUCCCAGGUUAUAGGAGACAACAAAGAAAUACAACUCCUGAAUUAAUUCUAUCAGCAGGUAACACGUGAGUUGGUGAGAAAUGAUCAAUGGAGAAGUGCUGGAAGAAGCUGGUUUCUGAGGUUGCCUGGAUGGACCGAGCGCUACAUGAGAAGCAGGUUUUACUUUGGGAAAGUGGCAGAGAGAAUAACAUUUUAGCUUAAUUCCAAACAGCAAACUAAAUCAGUCUGAAGAUUCAGAUCAAUUUUGAAAUUAUCCCCUCUACUCCGUAUCCUUAGCCAAUCAAAAGUUUAUUCUGA
rnacentral:lncRNA from 1 species